UGGGGUAGCGCCAAGAGGUAAGGCACCGGUUGUUGAUACCGGCAUUCCCUGGUUCGAAUCCAGGUACCCCAGCCA
rnacentral:tRNA from 1 species